rnacentral:tRNA from 1 species
UAAGAUAUAGCUUAUAUGUAGAGCGAUUUGCUUACAACAAAUAGGAAUAAUAAUAUUAUCUUAA